AUUGAACGCUGGCGGCAGGCCUAACACAUGCAAGUCGAGCGAGCGGCGGACGGGUGAGUAAUGUAUGGGGACUGCCCGAUAGAGGGGGAGAACUCCUGGAAACGGUGGCUAAUACCGCCUACUGUCGGAUAACCCAUAUGUGGUGAGCUAGUAGUUAAGGUAAUGGCUUACCUAGUCGACGAUCCCUAGCUGGUCUGGGAGGAUGAUCAGCCACACUGGGACGGAGACACGGCCCAGACUCCGACGGAGGCAGCAGUGGGGAAUAUUGCACAAUGGGCGCAAGCCUGAUGCAGCCAUGCCGCGUGUAUGAAGAAGGCCAUAGGGUUGUAAAGUACUUGCAGUCGGGAGGCGUUACCGACAGAAGAAGCACCGGCUAACUCCGUGCCAGCAGACGCGGUAAUAC
rnacentral:rRNA from 1 species